CCCAGGAUCAUUCCUUUGAACCAAAUCCUAUAACAACAAAUCAAAUUCAACGAAAACAAGCAAAGCGAAAUGUGGUUAAAAGAGUCCUGUACCGGAAUGCUCUCUGCGAACAGUACGUUACUGCUGCGAACUAUAAUGGUUUGAACACUGAUUUGAUAUACUUUAUCGACGAGAACGCAUCGAAGGUACCACGGAUAGCACUGAACAGUUUUAGGGAGCUAAGAGAUUAUCUAAAAGAACCAAUACCAAACCAUCCAGACAGUGACAUUCUACUGAUCAGAUCCUUUAUAAUUUGGUUGGCAGAUGCAUUGGGUAAUGAUACAGUUGAGGAUUUAGAGCCACCUCCAUCUUCUCCUCUGUCAUACAGAUCUGCUGAAGGACAAGGAAGAACCCCGGAUGUAUUGGUUAGACUUUUACGGCAACAUAAAACUACCAGUACCACAAUAUUUAUCUUAUUAUGUUGGGCUGCUGGUAUUAAAUGUGACAAGAUAAGUGGUGUCUGUAGGAGUGACGAUGGAAAUAAGUUACUUCCUUGCGCAUGGGUAGCAGUUUUUAUUAAAGACACGUGGCAGAUUGUUCAUCCAUAUCGCAUAUGUCGAACACUAUCGGGGAAUAUACCAAAAGACAUGUUUAAAACAUACAAUGAAAUCAAUUCAGAUACAAAUAAGAUGAUAAAGAAAACAUUCUUAGAUCAUUAUGUAUUGUCAAAUCCAGAAUAUUUUAUCUACGAAUGCUUCCCUGAUGAAGAAAAAUGGCAGUUGCUCCUUGAAUCAAUAACACAAGAACAGUUCAUAGACCAUGAAAUGUUCUUUCCUCCUUGGUGGAGAACGGGUCUAAAACUUACUACUCAUUUAAGCCAUCGGAUAAUCUG